UGACGCUCAUGGACGAAAGCCAGGGGAGCGAAAGGGAUUAGAUACCCCUGUAGUCCUGGCCGUAAACGAUGAACACUAGGUGUCGGGGGAAUCGACCCCUUCGGUGUCGUAGCUAACGCGUUAAGUGUUCCGCCUGGGGAGUACGCACGCAAGUGUGAAACUCAAAGGAAUUGACGGGGGCCCGCACAAGCGGUGGAGUAUGUGGUUUAAUUCGAUGCAACGCGAAGAACCUUACCAGGGUUUGACAUCCUGCGAACCUCUUAGAAAUUUGAGGGUGCCUUCGGGAAUGCAGUGACAGGUGGUGCGUGGCUGUCGUCAGCUUGUGUCGUGAGAUGUUGGGUUAAGUCCCGCAACGAGCGCAACCCACGUUUUUAGUUGCCAGCAUUUAGUUGGGCACUCUAGAAAGACCGCCGGUGAUAAACCGGAGGAAGGUGUGGAUGACGUCAAGUCAUCAUGCCCCUUACACCCUGGGCUACACACGUACUACAAUGCUACGGACAAAGGGCAGCAAACUCGCGAGAGCUAGCAAAUCCCAUAAACCGUGGCUCAGUUCAGAUCGUAGGCUGCAACUCGCCUACGUGAAGUAGGAAUCGCUAGUAAUCGCAGGUCAGCAUACUGCGGUGAAUACGUUCCCGGGCCUUGUACACACCGCCCGUCACACCAUGGAAGUUGGCCAUGCCCGAAGUCGUUACUCCAACCCUUGUGGAGGAGGACGCCGAAGGUGGGGCUAAUGACUGGGGUGAAGUCGUAACAAGGUAGCC
rnacentral:rRNA from 1 species